rnacentral:rRNA from 1 species
GGGUCAGUAGGUCGGUCGUGCCACUGGUAUGAACUGGUUUUACUGAUUCCUCCCUCUUGAAGAACUGUAAUGCCAUUAAUUUGGUGUUGCAGGGAAUCAGGACUGUUACUUUGAAAAAAUUAGAGUGUUUAAAGCAGGCUAACGCCUGAAUACAUUAGCAUGGAAUAAUGAUAUAGGACUUUGGUUCUAUUUUGUUGGUUUCUAGGAUCGACGUA